rnacentral:rRNA from 1 species
GAUUCAGCGGCGGACGGGUGAGUAAUGCCUAGGAAUCUGCCCGAUAGUGGGGGACAACGUUUCGAAAGGAACGCUAAUACCGCAUACGUCCUACGGGAGAAAGUGGGGGAUCUUCGGACCUCACGCUAUCGGAUGAGCCUAGGUCGGAUUAGCUAGUUGGUGAGGUAAUGGCUCACCAAGGCGACGAUCCGUAACUGGUUUGAGAGGAUGAUCAGUCACACUGGAACUGAGACACGGUCCAGACUCCUACGGGAGGCAGCAGUGGGGAAUAUUGGACAAUGGGCGAAAGCCUGAUCCAGCCAUACCGCGUGUGUGAAGAAGGUCUUCGGAUUGUAAACUUACUUCAUUUUGGAGGAAGGGCAGUAAGUUAAUUACCUUUCUGUUUUGCGUACAAAAAGAAAAGUAUACCUCGUAAAAUU